UGACGGUUUCAUGAUGAUCAUUUCAGUAAUCGGGCAAAUGCAUGUGCUGGUUGGACUGACUUGCAAAUUUUGAGCCUUUUUUCAAAUCGAAAGCUGUCAUCAACAAAAAUGAUGAUAGAUAAAUCAGUUAACAGUCAGAUAACCGUUCCAACAUCGGUUUCCAAAUUACCACUGGGCGAUACAAUUACGAACAUGCGCACAACAAACGGUACAAGUAGUUUCGUGACGGUUUCUGGACCGUCCAAAAGUUCAUGUUGGAACAAACCUGUAAUAAGGUUAUUUGGUAAUGUAAUUUAUUGGAAAUCAAGAAAGCAAAAGAGUGUAACAAAAUCCCAAUAGCACACGACGUACUCUGGACGUCCAACAUAGGUCCAUUUUUUGUCCUAACGUCCAUGGACUAUAAACGGACGUCCUUCGAGUGGAAUAAAUAUGAACGUUCCGAUGUGGACGAUAUUGGAAAUAAUUCAAUAAAAUAUUAACUUAAUUAUGUUAAUAAAAUAGUUUAAAUCGAAAACAUUCAAUCAUAUUUAAUUCAAAAUUGUAUAGUUUAAUAUCCAAAACAUGUUUUUGUUUUUAUGUAAAGUGUGAAAAUCUUAUUUGUAAAUUAUUUAUUACAAUGUUGUUUUAUUAUUCUAGCUACCAAGAUGAUAUAAGUUUGCUAAUUUAUAAUUAUAAUAAGCAAAAA
rnacentral:lncRNA from 1 species